AGUUUGAUCCUGGCUCAGAUUGAACGCUGGCGGGAUGCUUUACACAUGCAAGUCGAACGGCAGCACGGACUUCAGUCUGGUGCGGCGAGUGGCGAAGACGGGUGAGUAAUGUAUCGGAACGUGCCUAGUAGCGGGGGAUAACUACGCGAAAACGUAGCUAAUACCUCAUACGCCCUUCGAAGCAGGGGGACCUUCGGGCCUCGCACUAUUAGAGCAGCCGAUAUCGGAUUAGCUAGUUGAGGUGGGGUAACGGCUCACCGAGGCGACGAUCCGUAGCUGGUUUGAGAGGACGACCAGCCACACUGGGACUGGAGACGGCCCAGACUCCUACCGGAGGCAGCAGUGGGAAUUUUGGACCAGUAGGGGCUCUGAUCAACCAUCGCGUGUGCGAUGAAGGCCUUCGGGUUGUAAAGCACUUUUGGCAGGAAGAAACGGCACGGGAUAAUACCCCGUGCAAUGACGGUACCUGCAGAAUAAGCACCGGCUAACUACGUGCAGCAGCAACGGUAAUACCCGUAGAGAUUACCAAGCGUUAAUCGGAAUUACUGGGCGUAAAGCGUGCGCAGGCGGUUCGGAAGAAAGAUGCUGAAAUCCCAGAACUUAACUUUGGAACUGUUUUAACUACCGAGCUAGAAAUUAAUGUCAGAGGGAGGUGGAGAUUCCGCUGAUCAGCAGUGAAAUGCGUAGAUAUGCGGAGGAACACCGAUGGCGAAGGCAGCCUCCUGGGAUAACACUGACGCUGCUGCGCUCAUGCGUGUGAGGCAAACAGGAUUAGAUACCCUGUUAGUCCACGCCUAAACGAUGUCAACUAGCUGUUUGGGGCCUUCGGGCCUUGGUAGCGCAGCUAACGCGUGAAGUUGACCGCCUAGGAAGCUGAUCGCAAGAUUAAAACUCAAAGAAUUGACGAGGACCCACUACAAGCGGUGGAUGAUGUGGAUUAAUUCGAUGCAACGCGAAAAGCCUUACCUACCCUUGACAUGUCUGGAAUCCCGAAGAGAUUUGGGAGUGCUCGCAAGAGAACCGGAACACAGGUGCUGCAUGGCUGUCGUCAGCUCGUGUCGUGAGAUGUUGGGUUAAGUCCCUGGCUGAGCGCAACCUGUCAUUAGUUGCUACGAAAGGGCACUCUAAUGAGACUGCCGGUGACAAACCGGAGGAAGGUGGGGAUGACGUCAAGUCCUCAUGGCCCUUUU
rnacentral:misc_RNA from 1 species